UCCCUCCUCUAUGAUGACUCUAGUUUGUGUCAAGUUGACAUGAACUGACCAGUACACAGGGAGUGAGCCAAAAGGCCAUGGAAACAAAAUUGAAGAGGUAUAUCAGAAGUUGCAGAAGGUAAGUAAAGGCAUUUCACUACAUUUCCUAUGAGCCAAUGUUAUUACAUCUAGAAACCACUAGAGGGCGCGAGCUGUGCAAAUGUGUGUGCAGGUUUCCUCUUUGUGGCUACUUGAAUUCUUCCGUGUGGCAGUCACCUAUGGAAUAACAUGUUCCAGUGCGUGCUACUCCAUAAAGACGUUGUCACAACGCUGCCUAGACAUCUUAGUACCCACAGCGGGAAACUAACUUUCAAACUCUUUUUUUUUCCCUACAAUGGAGGGUUUAUGGAAACUUUUACGAGUAACUCAAAACUCACUGAACGUGUGUUCAUUUGUUUGUUGUGACAAUGCUGUUACUAAUUAUCACCGCGCCGUGCAUUAAGAGCUAUUAAGGGUUCUUCAAAGUUACCAUCUCCGAGAUAGACGCCUCUGCCUUCCCUAGAAUCAAAACUCUUCCAGACUGAAAAGUGACUUCUCAUGGGGAUUUCCAUAACUAUAAACCCCGAGCUAUAGAGGUGUGAGGAGAAGAUAAGGGCUCCUUUUGUAGCCAGACACAACAAGAGCCAUUGAAUACCUGACUGCCAGUCCAUCUUCUCCUUGUUCUCCGCUCAACUUCAUAACCAUGAUCACAUAGGAUGCUGUCUAAAUACGGAAAGGCGGAGCUGUUGGUGGGAGGUUUAUGGAGCUCCCCAGCCGCAGUGCCUUUGUUCCUAGAUCACAGUCUGUUGCUGAGUAUUAAGCAUUGCCCCACCACAGGUGCUCAGACCACGGAAAAGAUGAAUUUUCUAGACGUGGAGUCUGGCUCAGAUGAACCUAAUCAAGGUCCAGAGCUUGCAAGUGACAAAGAGGCUCCUUCCUAGAAGGGCUGUACUGGCAGGUGCAGUUCAGCAACUAAACAGAAGUUCACAACCGAGUGCCAAUCGGUCUAUGCUAAGUGAAAACCAGAAACAGAUCCCAGUCCUUCCCACGAGACGUGAGUGAGAGAUGAAAAUAAAGACUUACCGCUCUCACAGCCUGAAGACUUCGAGCCUACAAAGACUACUCCUAAAGAGAGAAGCUAAACCUACCUCCUUGAUCCAGCCAUAGCCUUAAGCCCUGCUACCUUGUUUUACAUGUAUGCAAUAACCCUGCCUUCAUGUCCAGCUGUAUACAAUAACCCACCUCCCUAUUCAACUCUGUAUGAUAAACAUGUUGAAAUCCAAGGGGCUAGGGUUUCCCUAGACCGCCCAACCCCACUGUGUGUGUGUGUGUGUGUGUGUGUGUGUGUGUGUGUGUGAGAGAGAGA